CAGUAGCCACGGGAAUACGAAGGGGGCUAGCGUUACUCGGAAUUACUGGGCGUAAAGGGCGCGUAGGCGGCACGAUUAGUCAGGCGUGAAAUUCCUGGGCUCAACCUGGGGACUGCGCUUGAUACGGUCGAGCUAGAGGAUGGAAGAGGGUCGUGGAAUUCCCAGUGUAGAGGUGAAAUUCGUAGAUAUUGGGAAGAACACCGGUGGCGAAGGCGGCGACCUGGUCCAUUACUGACGCUGAGGCGCGACAGCGUGGGGAGCAAACAGGAUUAGAUACCCCUGUAGUCCCUGUCUCUUAUAC
rnacentral:rRNA from 1 species